AUUGAACGCUGGCGGCAGGCCUAACACAUGCAAGUCGAACGGUAACAGGAAACAGCUUGCUGUUUCGCUGACGAGUGGCGGACGGGUGAGUAAUGUCUGGGAAACUGCCUGAUGGAGGGGGAUAACUACUGGAAACGGUAGCUAAUACCGCAUAACGUCGCAAGACCAAAGAGGGGGACCCUCUGUCCUCUUGCCCUCGGAUGUGCCCAGAUGGGAUUAGCUUGUUGGUGGGGUAACGGCUCACCAAGGCGACGAUCCCUAGCUGGUCUGAGAGGAUGACCAGCCACACUGGAACUGAGACACGGUCCAGACUCCUACGGGAGGCAGCAGUGGGGAAUAUUGCACAAAGGGCGCAAGCCUGAUGCAGCCAUGCCGCGUGUAUGAAGAAGGCCUUCGGGUUGUAAAGUACUUUCAGCGGGGAGGAAGGGAGUAAAGUUAAUACCUUGGCUCAUUGACGUUACCCGAAGAAGAAGCACCGGCUAACUACGUG
rnacentral:rRNA from 1 species